CCUUCUCCAUUAAGAAGAUGCAGCAAUGAUUGAGAAAUCUGAGUGAUGUGGAGGGAGAAAAAUAUGAUGAAAUGAUUGAUGAUGUUUGAUGAGCAAGGCUG